UAGGGAAUCUUCCACAAUGGGCGCAAGCCUGAUGGAGCAACACCGCGUGAGUGAAGAAGGGUUUCGGCUCGUAAAGCUCUGUUGUUGGAGAAGAACGUGCGUGAGAGUAACUGUUCACGCAGUGACGGUAUACAACCAGAAAGUCACGGCUAACUACGUGCCAC
rnacentral:rRNA from 1 species